GAUGAAGAACGCAGCGAAAUGCGAUAAGUAAUGUGAAUUGCAGAAUUCAGUGAAUCAUCGAAUCUUUGAACGCACAUUGCGCCCCCUGGUAUUCCGGGGGGCAUGCCUGUCCGAGCGUCAUUACAACCCUCAAGCUCAGCUUGGUGUUGGGCCCCGCCGCCCCGGCGGGCCCUAAAGUCAGUGGCGGUGCCGUCCGGCUCCGAGCGUAGUAAUUCUUCUCGCUCUGGAGGUCCGGUCGUGUGCUCGCCAGCAACCCCCAAUUUUUUUCAGGUUGACCUCGGAUCAGGUAGGGAUACCCGCUGAACUUAAGCGUAUCAAUAAGCGGAGGA
rnacentral:misc_RNA from 1 species